rnacentral:rRNA from 1 species
GAGGGGAACAACAGCUGGAAACGGCUGCUAAUACCCCAUAGGCUGAGGAGCAAAAGGGGGAAUCCGCCCAAGGAGGGGCUCGCGUCUGAUUAGUUAGUUGGUGAGGCAAUGGCUUACCAAGGCGACGAUCAGUAGCUGGUCCGAGAGGAUGAUCAGCCACACUGGGACUGAGACACGGCCCAGACUCCUACGGGAGGCAGCAGUGGGGAAUUUUCCGCAAUGGGCGAAAGCCUGACGGAGCAAUGCCGCGUGAAGGCAGAAGGCCCACGGGUCAUGAACUUCUUUUCUCGGAG